GGAAACGGGGUCUAAUACCGGAUAACACCGGCCUCCGCAUGGAGGCUGGUUGAAAGCUCCGGCGGUGAAGGAUGAGCCCGCGGCCUAUCAGCUUGUUGGUGGGGUAAUGGCCCACCAAGGCGACGACGGGUAGCCGGCCUGAGAGGGCGACCGGCCACACUGGGACUGAGACACGGCCCAGACUCCUACGGGAGGCAGCAGUGGGGAAUAUUGCACAAUGGGCGAAAGCCUGAUGCAGCGACGCCGCGUGAGGGAUGACGGCCUUCGGGUUGUAAACCUCUUUCAGCAGGGAAGAAGCGAAAGUGACGGUACCUGCAGAAGAAGCGCCGGCUAACUACGUGCCAGCAGCCGCGGUAAUACGUAGGGCGCAAGCGUUGUCCGGAAUUAUUGGGCGUAAAGAGCUCGUAGGCGGCUUGUCACGUCGGGUGUGAAAGCCCGGGGCUUAACCCCGGGUCUGCAUCCGAUACGGGCAGGCUAGAGUGUGGUAGGGGAGAUCGGAAUUCCUGGUGUAGCGGUGAAAUGCGCAGAUAUCAGGAGGAACACCGGUGGCGAAGGCGGAUCUCUGGGCCAUUACUGACGCUGAGGAGCGAAAGCGUGGGGAGCGAACAGGAUUAGAUACCCUGGUAGUCCACGCCGUAAACGUUGGGAACUAGGUGUUGGCGACAUUCCACGUCGUCGGUGCCGCAGCUAACGCAUUAAGUUCCCCGCCUGGGGAGUACGGCCGCAAGGCUAAACUCAAAGGAAUUGACGGGGGCCGCACAACCACCGAACAUGUGGCUAAUUCAACGCACGCGA
rnacentral:rRNA from 1 species